AGAUAUUGGCUCAGGCACUAUUGUAGCCAAUGAGGUUAAUCCGAGGUUCAAUUAUUGCUAAUUGAAAACUUCUCCUGGCUUA